AUUGAACGCUGGCGGAAUGCUUUACACAUGCAAGUCGAACGGUAGAGGGGGCAACCCCUCGAGAGUGGCGAACGGGUGAGUAAUAUAUCGGAACGUGCCCAGUCGUGGAGGAUAACAUAGCGAAAGUUACGCUAAUACCGCAUACGAUCUAAGGAUGAAAGCGGGGGAUCGCAAGACCUCGCGCGAUUGGAGCGGCCGAUAUCAGAUUAGGUAGUUGGUGGGGUAAAGGCUCACCAAGCCAACGAUCUGUAGCUGGUCUGAGAGGACGACCAGCCACACUGGAACUGAGACACGCUCCAGACUCCUACGGGAGGCAGCAGUGGGGAAUUUUGGACAAUGGACGCAAGUCUGAUCCAGCCAUUCCGCGUGCAGGAUGAAGGCCCUCGGGUUGUAAACUGCUUUUGUACGGAACGAAAAGGUCUCUCUUAAUACGGGGGGCUCAUGACGGUACCGUAAGAAUAAGCACCGGCUAACUACGUGCCAGCAGCCGCGGUAA
rnacentral:rRNA from 1 species